UACGUAGGUGGCAAGCGUUGUCCGGAUUUACUGGGCGUAAAGGGCGCGUAGGCGGACUUUUAAGUGAGAUGUGAAAUACUCAGGCUCAACCUGGGGGCUGCAUUUCAAACUGGAAGUCUAGAGUGCAGGAGAGGAGAGUGGAAUUCCUAGUGUAGCGGUGAAAUGCGUAGAGAUUAGGAAGAACACCAGUGGCGAAGGCGACUCUCUGGACUGUAACUGACGCUGAGGCUCGAAAGCGUGGGGAGCAAACAGG
rnacentral:rRNA from 1 species